GGUGAUCCAAGCAGGAGUUGAUCUGGUCCAGCAUGGAGUUUAUUGCUGCAUAUUCUAAAAGGAAGGGAAAUGAGAGACUGAACAAUAUGAGACCAAUGGGAAGCUGGAGGACUGGUAACAAGAUCUAAGGCAAGUUACCUGGGCAGUCCAAACCCAUUCUUGGCGUAUCUGACAGCCUUUGAUCUCAUACAUAAAUAGCUGACCACAGGCUGAGUGCUAGCGCACAGUGAUCCGCAUUGCAACAGUACCAAAUAAAUGCCAAGGGCAAGUUAGCUUUUUAGCUUCCUUACGGAUCAUCUUUCCUGACGAAGGUGCAGGCAUUUUGGCAGCGUGCCAAAGUGUUUACAUUCUGUGAAUUAUUUGUGCAGGGCUCCCAGGCUGGGAUGUGCUUCACAAGGGCCUGGCUGGGGUCAGGCUGCCGAGACAGCACAGCCAUGGCUGUAGCAGGAGCAGGGAUGAGCCCAAAGGUGCUGGUAGUGGUACCAUUAUUUCCAAAGGGAGCUAAGUGUGGGAUACCAAGUUCAGCCACAGGAUCUUCAUGCAUCCUUAAGGCUUUGGGUACUUCAGAUUAAAACCAAACUCAUUCAGGAUGAUCCUGACAGUUGGUUCCCUAGGUACAAUUUCCUAUUCAUAGCAUUUGUUUCAAGUGCAGAAGUGUUAGCCUCAGUACAAUGGCAUUUCACAGGGAUGUGUAUUAGCACUGUUAAUCAGAUGAAGAUAGCUGUGCUACUGUGAUGAAACACUUGCUUUUGGAUUGCUCCAAGCGAUAUUCACACCAACCUAAAGAAUAACAAAAAACCAAACUGAAAAACCAACAAGAUAAACCUCUGCUGACAAGUUACUCAGGAACCCCGGGGGCAUUACAGGAGACCCCAGGUGGAACUAGUCCCAUGUUCCUUUCUGAAGCCACAUGGGCUGAGCGAGUGCAGGGAGGCUGGCAUCGAGCUGUGGCCCGCGAGCUGACAUUUGUGAGGAUCGUGGGCUGCAGGACAGGGAAAGAUGCCUGCGUGGGUGAGACAAUCCCACACCUCAACGGCUGGGGCUGGCUGCUCUCCACCUGGCUCCUCCAAGCAGCUGGGGGAGCGUCAGAGCCAAGUGUGACACACGCAGUGCCUGGCUGUAGCGCUGCUCUGAGCUAACGGAGGUUAUAGAGAAAGCGAGGAGGAUGAGGCUUGAGCCGUGCUGAAAUUCCCCAGCCUCAGAAGCCCAACUUUGCCCCUCUUGGUCACCCCCUUGACACUUCCGUAGGCAGGGUGCCCUGGUGCCCAGUGCACCAGGCCCAGGCACUGCCAUUACCAGCAGCUUUAAAAGAACUGUGAAUAUUUAAAUAUUGCAGUCAUUUGCAUUACUAAUAGUUAAGGAGAAGUUUCAUUAUAAAAAAAAAAAAUUGUCCUCCUUUUCUUAUACUACUUUAGAGCUGUUCACAGCAGUGUUGCAGUCUUUAAUUUUUCGGAGAAUUGCAUACUAGCAUUUAAGCUUUUUUAUAAAAGUUUGGCCUUGCAGGUAUAUGCAGACGUGGCAUUAUGAGCAAGAGCACUGCUGAUGUCCUUGCAUUUAAAAACCAAUCCCACAAACACAUUCUUUCCAAAAAGGUGGCAAUUAUCAGUAUUCUUCAAACCUUGUUUCCAAGGUAUGUGAGAAUGUCCAUGAGUUAGAGUUCUUUACUUCAAUCUAGUAUUUGAUGCACCAUGUUCCAAUGAAAUGGUGAGCAGAUCCCAAGCAGAUACAGUAACUGCUUCUGACAAGCGAUAUUCAUCAACUUGGCAAGAAGUCUGUAAUGCCAGCAGAAGCCUAACUGUUCUCAGUGCCUAGAGCUCAAGUGAGGGCUAUAUAAGUUGUGCAGCUUUAGGAAGAGAAAAAAAAUUAACAAUUUUAAAAUAAUCUGUAAAAACAUUUUAUUUGAUUGUCUUCUGUUGGUUGCAAGCUUGGUCUAUUUUUGUGGAAAUGUAACCACAUCCCCUAAUGAAAAUGUUGACCAGGAGUAUGGCAAUUGCAUUGUUUACUAUUCUGCAGUCUUAAAAGAACGGUUGCCAAAAACAAGGUUUCUGAUUUGAGAUCAAGGAAGUGAUCCACAGCUUCAGCUCCACAAGACCAGGAAAUAGCUACAGACCUUUAUGACCAGCUGCUGCACACAAAGCCCCAACUAAUGACAGGCGGAAUAACUUAAUGCAGAGACUCAAUAUAGAGCAGAUUUAGUGACUUUCUCCGUCACAUCCAAUGUGUCUCUUAGCUUUUCAAAAAGUUUGAAACACAAAUCACUGUGAUGACACAAAGCGAUGAAUGCUCGUGGGGUGUUUCAGGGCAGAAAUGAUGCUCCUGUCACUGCAGGUCGAUCACGGCCAUAGCUACGAGAUUGACCUGCACGGAUCACAUCUGGAAACGGUGUUUUGGGAAACAGCAUAACCCAAAUCUUCACCAUUUUCAAGAGAAGAGUAACAAAGUGCUUACCCUUCGAAAGAUUUCCAAUUUUAAGUGACCUGUACAUACAUAUUACAGUUCUGCCACUGUGUCACUUCCUCCAUUGGCUUUUUCUAACUGGACAGGACAGCAUCAGAAAUUUCAUACCUAGAUGCUGUAGAAAUGCCCAAAAGUGGAAUCUGCCAAGCUAAUUGCAUUAAAUUCACUUUUUCCACCCAUGACUACUUCUCCCAGACCUGCCCACAUGAUCUGUCCUGCAAUUUCAAAAUCUGAACAUCCUCUUUCUCCUUGGUCACCCACACCCCGCACACCAGAAAAAGCACAGAAUCAUCUGUUCACAA